AUAUAUCAAACUUCUCUUGUUGAGUUGUUUGGAUGUGGGGGUUUUGCUGGCCUGUUCAGCUCUCCUGAAAUGCAUUAGCAGAACAACCUGUUCAUUGGCGUGAUAACUAUCUAUGCUAUUGAAUGUGAAGGAAGGUUCAGCUUUCUAAUAGUCCCUUGGACAAAUUCAUCAUUA
rnacentral:misc_RNA from 1 species